rnacentral:rRNA from 1 species
GACGAACGCUGGCGGCGUGCUUAACACAUGCAAGUCGAACGGAAAGGCCCUGCUUUUGUGGGGUGCUCGAGUGGCGAACGGGUGAGUAACACGUGAGUAACCUGCCCUUGACUUUGGGAUAACUUCAGGAAACUGGGGCUAAUACCGGAUAGGAGCUCCUGCUGCAUGGUGGGGGUUGGAAAGUUUCGGCGGUUGGGGAUGGACUCGCGGCUUAUCAGCUUGUUGGUGGGGUAGUGGCUUACCAAGGCCUUGACGGGUAGCCGGCCUGAGAGGGUGACCGGCCACAGUGGGACUGGGAUACGGCCCAGACUCCUACGGGAGGCAGCAGUGGGGAAUAUUGCACAAUGGGCGGAAGCCUGAUGCAGCAACGCCGCGUGCGGGAUGACGGCCUUCGGGUUGUAAACCGCUUUCGCCUGUGACGAAGCGUGAGUGACGGUAAUGGGUAAAGAAGCACCGGCUAACUACGUG